AAUUCCAGUCCGGGUAGCGUAUAAUUAUUGGUGCAGAAUCAUAUAACAGUGUGUGGUGGCCUAAAUUUAGCGUGGAAAAGUGGAGAUUAAGCAAUAUUAAAGGGAGAAAGACUUACAAGCUCGGACACAUAAGCAUAGCUAAUAGGACGUGGAACAGGUACACCCAAAGGAUGCGAAGUUAACAUAGAAGAUGUUCCAGCGGAGUUGGUAGGCUCCACUUGUCCUGGAGUGCUGCCAAGUCAGAGUAUAUGUAGUAUGACGCUAUGUUCGAGGUUAGAGACUUUGCAGACAGAGUCGUGGGUAUAGAGUGUCGGUUCUGUCAGCAGCCUAUGUGUCAUUUUAUGUUAUG